rnacentral:lncRNA from 1 species
ACUGGGUAUUUUUCCAUUAUUGUAAUAAGUCCGUUUCGCUCCCCUGUUUAGGCAGGAUAGAUGGCUGUGAUUCCUGCGGACAAAGACGAAGAUCGAUGCUGAAUUAAGGCUGCAGCAAGCCCUUUUGUCAUCCUGCAGGCAGGAGGAGUCCGGGAAGCUCACUUAUCUGGAUAAGAAGACCGUUUGAGAUUAGAAGCAUGAUGACGUUUAAGUAGA